GUAUGAAGUGAUGGCAUCAUCUUUCGGGACUGACCUGUUAUGGAGAUAAUCACUAAUUUAACUGAUCAUAC
ensembl:snoRNA